rnacentral:rRNA from 1 species
AGCGGUAGAGAGAAGCUUGCCUCUCUUGAGAGCGGCGGACGGGUGAGUAAUGCCUAGGAAUCUGCCUGGUAGUGGGGGAUAGCGUUCGGAAACGGACGCUAAUACCGCAUACGUCCUACGGGAGAAAGCAGGGGACCUUCGGGCCUUGCGCUAUCAGAUGAGCCUAGGUCGGAUUAGCUAGUUGGUGAGGUAAUGGCUCACCAAGGCGACGAUCCGUAACUGGUCUGAGAGGAUGAUCAGUCACACUGGAACUGAGACACGGUCCAGACUCCUACGGGAGGCAGCAGUGGGGAAUAUUGGACAAUGGGCGAAAGCCUGAUCCAGCCAUGCCGCGUGUGUGAAGAAGGUCUUCGGAUUGUAAAGCACUAUAAGUUGGGAGGAAGGGUUGUAGAUUAAUACUCUGCAAUUUUGACGUUACCGACAGAAUAAGCACCGGCUAACUCUGUGCCAGCAGCCGCGGUAAUGCAGAGGGUGCAAGCGUUAAUCGGAAUUACUGGGCGUAAAGCGCGCGUAGGUGGUUUGUUAAGUUGGAUGUGAAAUCCCCGGGCUCAACCUGGGAACUGCAUUCAAAACUGACUGACUAGAGUAUGGUAGAGGGUGGUGGAAUUUCCUGUGUAGCGGUGAAAUGCGUAGAUAUAGGAAGGAACACCAGUGGCGAAGGCGACCACCUGGACUAAUACUGACACUGAGGUGCGAAAGCGUGGGGAGCAAACAGGAUUAGAUACCCUGGUAGUCC